GAUGAACGCUGGCGGCGUGCCUAAUACAUGCAAGUCGAGCGAACAGACGAGGAGCUUGCUCCUCUGACGUUAGCGGCGGACGGGUGAGUAACACGUGGAUAACCUACCUAUAAGACUGGGAUAACUUCGGGAAACCGGAGCUAAUACCGGAUAAUAUAUUGAACCGCAUGGUUCAAUAGUGAAAUACGGUUUUUCUGUCACUUAUAGAUGGAUCCGCGCCGCAUUAGCUAGUUGGUAAGGUAACGGCUUACCAAGGCAACGAUGCGUAGCCGACCUGAGCGGGUGAUCGGCCACACUGGAACUGAGACACGGUCCAGACUCCUACGGGAGGCAGCAGUAGGGAAUCUUCCGCAAUGGGCGAAAGCCUGACGGAGCAACGCCGCGUGAGUGAUGAAGGUCUUCGGAUCGUAAAACUCUGUUAUUAGGGAAGAACAAAUGUGUAAGUAACUAUGCACGUCUUGACGGUACCUAAUCAGAAAGCCACGGCUAACUACGUG
rnacentral:rRNA from 1 species